GUUGCCGUGGAGCAGCGGCUAUCACGUAUACUUUCUGUGCAGAAGAACCCCAGUUCGAGCCUGGGCUGCAUCU
rnacentral:tRNA from 1 species